rnacentral:rRNA from 1 species
GACGAACCUUGCUAACGUUAUUCGGAAUUACUGGGCUUAAAGGGUGCGUAGGCGGCUUGUUAAGUAGGGUGUGAAAUCCCCCGGCUCAACCGGGGAAUUGCGCCCUAAACUGGCGAGCUGGAGUGAGAUAGGGGUGUGUGGAACUUCCAGUGGAGCGGUGAAAUGUGUUGAUAUUGGAAGGAACGCCAGUGGCGAAAGCGACACACUGGGUCUCAACUGACGCUGAGGCACGAAAGCCAGGGGAGCAAACGGG